rnacentral:rRNA from 1 species
CAGCAGCCGCGGUAAUACAGAGGGUGCGAGCGUUAAUCGGAUUUACUGGGCGUAAAGCGUGCGUAGGCGGCUAAUUGAGUCGGAUGUGAAAUCCCCGAGCUUAACUUGGAAAUUGCAUUCGAUACUGGUUAGCUAGAGUGUGGGAGAGGAUGGUAGAAUUCCAGGUGUAGCGGUGAAAUGCGUAGAGAUCUGGAGGAAUACCGAUGGCGAAGGCAGCCAUCUGGCCUAACACUGACGCUGAGGUACGAAAGCAUGGGGAGCAAACAGGAUUAGAUACCCCUGUAGUCCCUGUCUCUUAUAC